AACAUAUAAUUAAAUUUUCAUCUAAAGCAAAAGUACUAAUUGUGAAGACUCAUGAAGGUGAUAUCCAAAAGGGUAUUUUUGUAUGUGAAAGGUGUUGCCCAGUUGCUGGGAGAGGUUUUAAUGGUCUCACCUAAAGGUUUUCUUCUACACAAGGCUUAUGGAAUAAAUUCUGUGCCUCCCAAAAGUGGUCGUAAAUAGAGAAGGUCGCUACAUAGAGGUCCACCAGGGGAGGUCGACCAGGUAAAUUCAAAACAAAUGGAAAUAUAUGUUUGAAAUCAUCUGCAUUGUGGAUGGUACAACAUGUGGACCACAUGUGAUGGUAUAGCAUAGUACACCAUAAGCAAGAGGAGCCUCUUUCUGCCUUGGCCUUUUUAGAAGGCCUCUCUAUUGAAAAAAAUAAGCAGUACUUGCCUGCCAAUUUUUAAGUUAAGAGAUUUAGCCAAUCAGAAGGCAGAGGGGAGUUUAGAAAGAUAAGUUAAAAGAUAAGUUUUACAAAUAAAGACAUUUACAAGUAACAGGAGAAGCCUGCAUGUUGGGCAGUUUGGAAAGAUUUUAAUACUACCCUCGAAGAAAAGAGACUUAAGGUGGCCGCUGGUAAGCGCCGUCUGGACGGGUGCUCUGGUACCAGUGAUGUUUGGGGGGUACGAGCCAGGAAACAUUGCUUCAUUACGCCAGAUCACACAAUCUGUUGCACUUUUAAUUUGGCUGCAUUUUGAAUGGUUACGUUUCACCAAAAAAUUUGGCUUUAAAUGUGUAGUAGAUACAAAAAAGGAAUAUUAACAAUACUUUGUAAAUAUCACACGGAAAAAUUUAAUGAUUGAUCAGAUAGGAUGAAAGUGGAUGCGCAACCAUAUUCCUGCAAUAAGUUCUGAGUUGUCUGUUCUUAAAAAAGCAAAGAAGACAUUGAAAAUUACGAAAAACUGGUAAACUUCUGUUUUUUUGUUUUUUUUUCUUUUUAAAAAUUUUGUCAAGUUUGAUGUGUAGAUGGAAGAUAAGUGAGUUUGAAAUUUUUUAUGCCGUUUUUAUUCAGAUAACAAUGGGCAACUUUUUUGCAAUAAAAAGAAAUUCAACUCAUUCUAAUGUUUAAGAGAAUAUAAAUUUGAAAAAUUGUUCAAAAAACA